AUAUAUAUAUCAACCUUCUCUUGUUGAAUGGUUUGGAUGUGGGGGUUUGCUGGCCUCUUAAAAGAAUUCAGCUCUCCUGAAAUGCAUUAGCAGAACAAAACCUGUUCAUUGGUGUGAUAACUAUCUACGCUAUUGAAUGUGAGGUGGCAGUUCAGCUUUCUAACAGUCCCUUGGGACAACUCAUCAUUA
rnacentral:misc_RNA from 1 species